GGGGGGGGGGGGGGGGGGGGGGGGGGGGGGGGGGGGGGGGGGGGGGGGGGGGUGUUGGGUAUGUUUGUUGGGUAUGUUUGUUUGUUGGGUAUGUUUGUUUGUUGGGUAUGUUUGUUUGUUGGGUAUGUUUGUUUGUUGGGUAUGUUUGUUUGUUGGGUAUGUUUGUUUGUUGGGUAUGUUUGUUUGUUGGGUAUGUUUGUUUGUUGGGUAUGUUUGUUUGUUGGGUAUGUUUGUUUGUUGGGUAUGUUUGUUUGUUGGGUGGGUAUGUUUGUUGGGUAUGUUUGUUUGUUGGGUAUGUUUGUUUGUUGGGUAUGUUUGUUUGUUGGGUAUGUUUGUUUGUUGGGUACGUUUGUUUGGGUGUAUUCGUGUGUGUGACCGUGGCCCGUGGCGCGCGCCCCGCCCGCGGUGCCUGCCGCAGCCGCUAGGUGUCGCUGCGGCGCCAGGCUGGGGCCGUGUGAGGCUGCCCGGGGCGCGGUGCGGAGUGCGCGGGAUCGGGGGCUGUGGCAGAGAGAAAGGAAGGCUCUGCAGCUGGCAUGGAGCAAACACUGGGAGUAUUUAUGAGGGCAUUUUGAUUCAGAUCUCUUCUUAGUAAUUCCAAUGCUUAACAGAGAGAUCCUGCUUAUUAAUUCUGCUGUGAAGCAAAAU
rnacentral:lncRNA from 12 species